rnacentral:tmRNA from 1 species
GGGGGUGACAGGUCUCGACUCCGGUUGUCGAGGCAGGUGAAGCGGGCCGAGGAAGGCGACGAUGAUCUCGUUAACCAACAAUGUCGCACAACACACAAGCGCCGAUUCCAAUCAGCGCGCCGCUUCCUACGCCCUCGCGGCCUAGGUAGCAGCUGUCAGCCCGGGAGAGCCUCCGGCCCGGGAUCUGGCAUCGACAGGAGGACCACCACCCGUUUUGGCCACGGGGGCGGGUGGUGAACUUCCGUGGCUGAGCCCGUUCCCGGCUUGCUGGCGUGACCGGGAGGGCUGAGAAAAGCAC